UUACUACUCCCUCCGUCCGAAAAUACUUGUCAUCAAAAUGAAUAAAAAGAUAUGUAUCUCAAACUAAAAUAUGUCUAGAUACAUCCCCUUUUAUCCAUUUUGAUGACAAGUAUUUCUAGACGAAGGGAGUAUCAU
rnacentral:pre_miRNA from 1 species